GUUUGAUCCUGGCUCAGAUUGAACGCUGGCGGCAUGCCUUACACAUGCAAGUCGAACGGCAGCAUGAUCUAGCUUGCUAGAUUGAUGGCGAGUGGCGAACGGGUGAGUAAUACAUCGGAACGUGCCCUGUAGUGGGGGAUAACUAGUCGAAAGAUUAGCUAAUACCGCAUACGACCUGAGGGUGAAAGUGGGGGACCGCAAGGCCUCAUGCUAUAGGAGCGGCCGAUGUCUGAUUAGCUAGUUGGUGAGGUAAAGGCUCACCAAGGCGACGAUCAGUAGCUGGUCUGAGAGGACGAUCAGCCACACUGGGACUGAGACACGGCCCAGACUCCUACGGGAGGCAGCAGUGGGGAAUUUUGGACAAUGGGCGAAAGCCUGAUCCAGCAAUGCCGCGUGUGUGAAGAAGGCCUUCGGGUUGUAAAGCACUUUUGUCCGGAAAGAAAUGGCUCUGGUUAAUACCUGGGGUCGAUGACGGUACCGGAAGAAUAAGGACCGGCUAACUACGUGCCAGCAGCCGCGGUAAUACGUAGGGUCCAAGCGUUAAUCGGAAUUACUGGGCGUAAAGCGUGCGCAGGCGGUUGUGCAAGACCGAUGUGAAAUCCCCGAGCUUAACUUGGGAAUUGCAUUGGUGACUGCACGGCUAGAGUGUGUCAGAGGGGGGUAGAAUUCCACGUGUAGCANUGAAAUGCGUANAGAUGUGGAGGAAUACCGAUGGCGAAGGCAGCCCCCUGGGAUAACACUGACGCUCAUGCACGAAAGCGUGGGGAGCAAACAGGAUUAGAUACCCUGGUAGUCCACGCCCUAAACGAUGUCNACUAGUUGUUGGGGAUUCAUUUCCUUUANUAACGUANCUAACNCNUGAANUUGACCGCCUGGG
rnacentral:rRNA from 1 species